AUGUUAGCGGCGGGACGGGUGAGUAACACGUGGGUAACCUGCCUGUAAGACUGGGAAAACUCCGGGAAACCGGGGCUAAUACCGGAUGGUUGUUUGAACCGCAUGGUUCAAACAUAAAAGGUGGCUUCGGCUACCACUUACAGAUGGACCCCGCGGCGCAUUAGCUAGUUGGUGAGGUAACGGCUCACCAAGGCAACGAUGCGUAGCCGACCUGAGAGUAAGAUCGGCCACACUGGGACUGAGACACGGGCCCAGACUYCUACGGGGAGGCAGCAGUAGGGAAUCUUCCGCAAUGGACGAAAGUCUGACGGAGCAACGCCGCGUGAGUGAUGAAGGUUUUCGGAUCGUAAAGCUCUGUUGUUAGGGAAGAACAAGUACCGGUUCGAAUAGGGCGGUACCUUGACGGUACCUAACCAAGAAAGCCACGGCUAACUACGUGCCAGCAGCCGCGGUAAUACGUAGGUGGCAAGCGUUGUCCGGAAUUAUUGGGCGUAAAGGGCUCGCAGGCGGUUUCUUAAGUCUGAUGUGAAAGCCCCCGGCUCAACCGGGGAGGGUCAUUGGAAACUGGGGAACUUGAGUGCAGAAGAGGAGAGUGGAAUUCCACGUGUAGCGGUGAAAUGCGUAGAGAUGUGGAGGAACACCAGUGGCGAAGGCGACUCUCUGGUCUGUAACUGACGCUGAGGAGCGAAAGCGUGGGGAGCGAACAGGAUUAGAUACCCUGGUAGUCCACGCCGUAAACGAUGAGUGCUAAGUGUUAGGGGGUUUCCGCCCCUUAGUGCUGCAGCUAACGCAUUAAGCACUCCGCCUGGGGAGUCAGCAGGGGUCGCAAGACUGAAACUCAAAGGAAUUGACGGGGGCCCGCACAACGCCGGUGGAGCAUGUGGUUUAUUCGAAGCAACGCGAAGAACCUUACCAGGUCUUGACAUCCUCUGACAAUCCUAGAGAUAGGACGUCCCCUUCGGGGGCAGAGUGACAGGUGGUGCAUGGUUGUCGUCAGCUCGUGUCGUGAGAUGUUGGGUUAAGUCCCGCAACGAGCGCAACCCUUGAUCUUAGUUGCCAGCAUUCAGUUGGGCACUCUAAGGUGACUGCCGGUGACAAACCGGAGGAAGGUGGGGAUGACGUCAAAUCAACAUGCCCCUUAUUGACGUGGGCUACACAUGUG
rnacentral:rRNA from 1 species